GGACAUACAGGAGUGGGGAAGAUAUGCAGCAAAGGGUCAAGAGCAGGAAUCGAACCCAGGCCGCUGCGUCGGAGGCCACUCGCUAUACAUGGAGAGAUGAGAUGGGGAAGACAUGCAACAAAGGGCCACGAGCAGGAAUUGAACCCAGGCCGCUGCGUCGGAGACCAGCCCCAAUCCACGGAGGUAUAGGAAGAGACAGGAAAUUCAAAGAUGAGUUGGGGGAAGACAUGCAGCAAAGGGCCGGGAGCAGGAUUUGAACCCUUGCCACUGUGUCGGAGAUCAACCCCUAUAUAUGGUUCGCCUGCUUAACCCACUGAGCUACACAGGUGCCCAAGUGUUUUACAUUAUUUCAUCAUAUGGCAUGUUCUUACGACAUGUUGAAAAAAAUCCCAUUUUUUUUGACAUAGUAUACGAUGGGGGUUUUUUUGGACAAAAUUCAUCAUAUUUUUUCUUCAAAAUAA